CUAAAUUCAACGGUUUUUCUUUAUGCAAUAAUUUCAAUGAAUCUGUGUGUUCCUUCCCUAACUGUAAAUUUGCUCAUAUAUGUAGCUUCUGCAAGGAUCCUCACCCGAAAUCGGUUUGCCCACGGCGGUUCAAGCCUCCUCCCAGAGUGAAAGACUCUACUCGGAAAAAAUUCUGAGUGGUCACCCAUCCACUCCUAUCAAUGUCUCAGUACUCUCUUCUUAUCUCUUUUCUCACCCUGAUCCGCUUUUUGCGGAUUUCUUAAUCACUGGCCUUUCUCAAGGGUUUCGAGUAGGAGUUCUUUCCCCUCUAUCUACUACUUUCGUAGCGAAAAAUUUACAGUCUGCUCUAAAUGAACCAGAGGUGGUCUCCUUUUUGCUCGAAAAAGAGGUAAAUAAAGGUUACGUAAUCGGUCCUCUCUCUUCUCCUCCAUUUAGUCCCUUUAGGGUUAAUUCGCUCGGAGUUGCUACCCGCAAAUAUUCAGGGAAAAAACGGUUGAUUUUCGACAUGUCUUCUCCCCAUUCUGAUUCUAUCGCUAGUGUUAACGAAUAUAUUCCCUCCGAGCCUUUUUCUCUGCAUUACGCUUCGGUUGAUAACGCUAUUCAGUUAAUCAAAUUAGCCGGCCAAGGUGCUUGGCUGGCUAAAGCAGAUAUCACGGAUGCUUUUAAAAUUAUACCAAUUCAUCCCUCUGAUUGGGCUCUCUUUGGCGUAAAAUGGAAAGCAAAAUUUUACUUCGCAGUAAGACUCGCGUUCGGAUGCCGGAGCAGUCCAAAAAUCUUUAACUGUCUCUCAGAAGCGCUGUGCUGGAUCCUGUUGAACGUAUGUAAGCUCCCCUUCGUCUUGCACUUACUGGACGAUUUUUUGCUGGUCGAUUUUCCUUCUCCUAAAACUCUAGUCCUCGACACACUUAAGCGGGUUUUUAGUGACGUCGGCGUUCCCCUAUCUAAAGAGAAAACAGUGGGCCCAUCAACAUCUCUCGAAUUCCUGGGCAUCUUAUUAGAUACGCAAAAAAUGCAAGCCUCUCUCCCAAUCGAGAAGCUCCUUAGAAUUAGAUCAAUCAUGGAGAACUUUUUGUCGCUACGCACCGUUUCAAAACGUGACAUGCUUUCUCUUCUCGGUCAUCUAAAUUAUGCCAUGAGCAUAAUUCCCCAAGGCAGAUCUUUUAUAUCUCGUCUGUUAACUUUGGCUCAUUCAGUACCGAACCUACACGAUUUGAUUCGCUUAGACGAAGGAUGUUUAUCCGAUCUCAAAUUCUGGACUCUGUUGCUAAAUAAUUGGAACGGCAUCUCUUUUUUCUACAAUGACGUUUCAGAAUCGUCUAAUGAAUUACAACUUUUCACAGACGCUGCACCUUCUAUAGGUUUUGGGGGGUUUUUCAAAGGGCAUUGGUUCGCCGAAAACUGGCCUAAUGAUUUUCCUAAACUAUCAUCCGGUUUUGUCUCAUCGGCUCUUCACGAAAUCUAUCCUAUCGCGAUAGCUAGUAUUCUUUGGGGCGCAGCUUGGUCCCGCAAGCAUAUAAUUAUGUUUUGCGAUAAUGAAGCCACAGUUGCCAUUAUCAAUAAAGGGAGAUCUAAUUGUCCUCUGAUCAUGUCAAUUCUGCGAAGACUGACUUGGCAGUCAGUCAUUCACAAUUUUAUUUUUAAAGCUAUUCACAUUCCUGGUCACUGCAAUAUGAUAGCUGAUGCACUUUCUCGUUUUCGUUUUCAGGUUUUCAGACGUCUAUGCCCAUCAGCCGAGCAGGAUCCUACUCCCUGCCCAAACCUUUCAGAAAUUCUG
ensembl:lncRNA